rnacentral:rRNA from 1 species
UUGUAAGUGUUUAAGAGCGUACGGUGGAUGCCUUGGCACCAGGAGCCGAUGAAGGACGUAGGAGGCUGCGAUAAGCCUCGGGGAGCUGUCAACCGAGCUGAGAUCCGAGGAUGUCCGAAUGGGGAAACCCAGCCACAGUGAUGUGUGGUUACCCGCGCCUGAAUAUAUAGGGCGUGUGGAGGGAACGUGGGGAAGUGAAACAUCUCAGUACCCACAGGAAGAGAAAACAACAUGUGAUUCCGUGAGUAGUGGCGAGCGAAAGCGGAAGAGGCUAAACCAUGAGUGUGUGAUAGCCGGCGGGCGUUGCAUUCGUGGGGUUGUGGGAUCCGUCUUGUCAAUUCUGCCGGAUUGGCCGACAGUGAGAAAUCAUCGUGUUAGUCGAAGUGGUCUGGAACGGCCUGUCGUAGAGGGUGAGAGUCCCGUAGACGAAAACAUGGUGACUGUCGUGACGGACACCCGAGUAGCAGCGGGCCCGUGAAAUCUGCUGUGAAUCUGUCGGGACCACCCGAUAAGCCUGAAUACUCCCUGGUGACCGAUAGCGGACUAGUACCGUGAGGGAAAGGUGAAAAGUACCCCGGGAGGGGAGUGAAAUAGUACCUGAAACCGUGCGCUUACAAUCCGUCAGAGCCUGCGCCACUUUUGGUGGGUGGGUGAUGGCGUGCCUUUUGAAGAAUGAGCCUGCGAGUUAGCGGC